rnacentral:lncRNA from 1 species
AUCCAGGUCAAAAGCUACCAAGCUGAGGGGCUGGGCUUUGAACCCAGGUCCUCCUAAUUACAAAGCCUGGAGCUUAGAGACUCAGGCAAACCGUGGUUUAAUUCUGGCCCCAUUCCUUCUAGCUGUGUGACUUUGGGAAAACCACUAUACCUCUCUGAGCCUCAGCUUCCUCUUGUAUAAAAGACGCAAGAGGCUGCGACCGAGCUCAGCCGUUGGACCUUGAGAGCUCGUGUCUUAUUGGGAGCCACCAUGAACCUCGUGUGGACGCCGAGGCUGGGGCAGGAUUCAGGUGGCAAGCCCGUUUGACAGAUGGUAAAACUGAGGCUCAGAGGUGAAGUCACCGACCAUGGCGAUGGAGUGAGAUGUUGACUCCGGUCUCUCUGUUUCCAGAAUUCCUUGUCUUAUUUCACACCGGAUGGGGAUCUGACAUCCAGGAAUGGAAAGCUAUGCUGCAGCCUCCAGACAGCAUUUGCUCCUGCUCCAGGUUCCAGACUCUAGAGAAAGGGGCUCAGAAACACCCAACAGAGCCCUCCCCGCAAGAAGCUCAGGGCCACACCCCCAACAAGACUUUUUCCAACAGAAUUGCAUCUCUGUUGACGUGGGUUAAUCAUGAUUUACAUUUAACUUACACAUACCCGGUUUGUAGUCAUCUGAAUAGAAAUAUGAAAGAGAUCUGUUGCAGAAAAUAUCCAGAGAAGAUGAUUCAAAUUGCCCACAGAUCCCCUAUUUGGGAAGAUCCCAGCGUGGCGUUUUAUUUUCCCUUCUUGGUA